AAGACAUGCAACACAUUUUCACCAUGACUUUAGCUACAUGCUUCAUGGUUCUGAUGCUAUCUUUGAUUUCUGGUGUUUGCAGUCAGACUCUGACCGAGUCUGAACCAGUGGUGAAGCGGCACGGAGAAUCUCACAAACUGACCUGUACUUAUGCAGGAAUAUCAGAUAGCGAUGCUCAUAUCAGCUGGAUCAGACAAGCUGAAGGAAAAGGACUGGAGUGGGUUGCCUACAUUUCUGCUCCGAGUGGAAGCACUAAAGCUUAUUCCACAUCAGUCCAGAAUCGCUUCACCAUUUCCAGAGACAACAACGUGGACCAAGUGUAUCUGCAGAUGAACAGCCUGACAACUGAAGACUCUGCUGUUUAUUAUUGUGCUCGAGAGCCACAGUGAUAC